rnacentral:sRNA from 1 species
CUCAACUGAUAAAAUGUAUAAAAUUUUACGAUGAGUAUUUUGUUAGUUGAAAG